GGGCCGGUAGCUCAGGUGGUUAGAGCGCACGCCUGAUAAGCGUGAGGUCGGAGGUUCAACUCCUCCUCGGCCCACCA
rnacentral:tRNA from 22 species